rnacentral:rRNA from 1 species
CCUACGGGUGGCAGCAGUGAGGAAUAUUGGUCAAUGGACGAGAGUCUGAACCAGCCAAGUAGCGUGAAGGAUGACUGCCCUAUGGGUUGUAAACUUCUUUUAUAUGGGAAUAAAAUGUUGCAUGUGUGGGAUUUUGUAUGUACCUUAUGAAUAAGGAUCGGCUAACUCCGUGCCAGCAGCCGCGGUAAUACGGAGGAUCCGAGCGUUAUCCGGAUUUAUUGGGUUUAAAGGGAGCGUAGGUGGAUUGUUAAGUCAGUUGUGAAAGUUUGCGGCUCAACCGUAAAAUUGCAGUUGACACUGGCAGUCUUGAGUACAGUAGAGGUGGGCGGAAUUCGUGGUGUAGCGGUGAAAUGCUUAGAGAUCACGAAGAAUUCCGAUUGCGAAGGCAGUUCACUGGACUGCAACUGACACUGAGGCUCGAAAGUGUGGGUAUCAAACAGGAUUAGAUACCCUGGUAGUC